GGAAGCCGUCAUGGCGCUGCAUUUGGGAAUCUUUCUGAUUUGGGCUGGUGCCUUUGUCUUUCUACAACUGGACCAUGUGGAUGGAGCUACGAAGACGUCUGGGAAUUGCACUGUUCUUGAAGUGAAGCCAGACAUUUCCCAAUGUACGUUUCCCUUUAUCUAUUGUGGUCAAACAUUUGACGAUUGCACAACUUCUGGGAGUCUGCUUGGGACACGUUGGUGCUCAGUCACUCCUAACUAUGAUGAUGAUAAAGGUUGGAAAUAUUGCUAGUAACAAAAGGUUCGUCUACUCAUGGCCAUGGAUGCAAUCAAACCUUUGAAACCUAAGUGAAGGAAAUCAAGAAAUCUCAAACCUGAAGGUGAUCCUCUGCACUGCGGAGAUGAAAUCCCUUGCCCGCCACUACACCAAGUUCCCACUGUGCAUGGAUUCAAUCAAUAAACCAUUCUUUCUGCAGGUGUGAUCUUGUUUUCCUUUCAUGAAAGGAAC